GGGCAUUUAUUAGGUUGGUGCAAAAGCUAUUGUGGUUUUUGCCAUUAAAAGUAAUGGCAAACGUCACAGUUGCUUUUGCACCAACCUAAUA
ensembl:miRNA